GGGUUCCUAGGAAGAGGUAGUAGGUUGCAUAGUUUUAGGGCAGUGGUUUUGCCUAUACGGAGUUAACUAUACAACCUGCUGCCUUUCUUAGGGCUU
ensembl:miRNA